CAAAAGGUGAGAGUCUGGAUUGCAAAUAUGGGUCUUUUCUGGAGAGUUAAGACAGUUACUUAAAGAGCCAGUCCCUGAAAGUCUUGCAGUAAGGAAUCUCUGAGAAUACAUCAAUCUUCAUUAAUUUUCUGUUUUCUCCCUUCACCCUGUAGAUGAGGGACAGACCUCAAAGGUCCAUAACCCCGAUCAUCUGCUCCUGGUUUUCCUGUUUGGUGCCUGUCCAUUUGAUCAAUCACUCGGUGGAAAGAGGAAGAAAAGCUUUAGAAUAUUUUUUUAAAAUUUUAUUUACAGUGUGGUAACAGGCCCUUCCGGCCCAACGAGUCCACGCCACCCAUUUUAAACCCAAAUUAACUUACCCGUAUGUCUUUGCAAUGUGGGAGGAAACCUGAGCACCCGCAGGAAACCCACGCAGACAUGGGAGAACGUACAAACUCCUUACAGACAGUGACAGGAAUCAAGCUCCUAUCGCUGGCGCUGUAAUAGCGUCGCACUAACCUCUAUGCUACCGUGCCAAUAUGUUGACUGGACUUCUGCAUCCCUGAAAUUUCCCAGCUCCCUGUAUCCCUUCCAACUUUCCCCCAGCAUUUCCACACUGUGGGCCCUCCCCCACCAAACCAAAGAGACCAUUUUCCUGCAUGUUAUCGCCACCCAAAUGACAAACUACAGCAAUGGCUCCAGAUUUAACCAUUAACCUACACACUAGGAGUGAUUUACUGUGACCAAUUAAACUUUGGGCAUGCCUUUGGGAUGUGGGAGGAAAGCAGAGCACCCAAUGGAAACCUGCGGUCAGAGGGAGAACACGAAUGCUCCACAGAAGCAGCACAGAAGAUGCUACCUGACCUAUUUCAGACUUCCAGGAUCUGCGGCUUUUGACCUCCAGAGAAGAGAACAAUUGGUCUACUUUAUUUAGCUGGAUUGGCUUUUCAGUUACUUCCUCAGAAGUGUACAGCUCAGUUCAGAUGCAAUGCCUAAAAUUACUCAUAAUACUGAGUUCUAAAAUGUUACUUUCUAAAAGUAAUCUAAUUUGCAUAUCUGAAUGUCAAUAUGGUUUUAUAUCCUGAAAUCUAAUGCCUUCCAAAGGAAACAAGAGUGUGAAUGUCACAAAAGGCUGUAACAACUGAUCAAAUAAUUUGCAUUUGAAUAAUUCAGUGCUAGCUGCUUCCACAAACUCCCGAGGGCAGUUAUUCCAAAUACUGACCACUCACUCAAAUAUUAUUUUCUGCGGAUGAGUUUCAAAUACACCAUUACCAACCAUCCUUCCAUUCUCAAUUCAGAUGACCAAAAUGGCCUACCAAAUACAUUCUUGUCUGGACUGCCCUUAAGCCAUUAAAACAGAAUCAUUUUUUUUGUAAAGGAGCAAAGGCAAUAAAGCAUAGUUGUAAACAUGGGGAACGAUAAGGAAAUGGAAUAAAAAUGCACAUGUAUGUUGUGUUGUGCUAGAUGGUUGUAGGGUCUCAUUGACUGUCUUAUUGUCUCAUUGGCUUACUAUUGACUGAUAGGCACCCUGAAGCAAGACACAGAGACAUUAGCUGCUACUGACCUAUUUAUUUGCUCAGCUGUACUGAACUGCUUGGCAUAGGAGGCUAAGAAAGAGAAGGCAAGAAUAAUCAUGAAGCAUUUUUUGCAGGCUAAAUUAUUUUUGUUGUUAAAUUACUAAAAUGCAUUCUAGCAUCACAUAGAAAUGAGAUAUUUAUAUGCU